GGUGAACGCUGGCGGCAUGUCUAAGGCAUGCAAGUCAAACCCUACCCUUCGGGGUGGGGUGGCAGACGGGUGCGUAACACAUUGGUAACUUACCUCCAACUCGAGUAUAACUCGGAGAAAUCCGGGACAAUCCUCGAUAGUCAUGGGGGGACAUAUGUCAUUCCCAUGUAAAGUUCCGACGGUUGGAGAGAGGCCUAUGGCACAUCAGCUUGUUGGUGAGGUAACGGCUCACCAAGGCUCUGACGUGUAGCGGGUGUGAGAGCAUGACCCGCCUCACUGGGACUGAGACACUGCCCAGACUCCUACGGGAGGCUGCAGUCAAGAAUCUUCCUCAAUGGCCGAAAGGCUGAAGGAGCAAUGCCGCGUGAUCGAAGAAGCCCCUCGGGGUGUAAAGAUCUUUUAUCAGGGAAGAAUCCGUGACGGUACCUGAUGAAUAAGCCACUGCUAACUUCG
rnacentral:rRNA from 1 species